CAGAGGGUUCUGAGCAAAGCCCCAAGGGAAAGCUCCCAAUGUUGUUAUGUGAGCUCCUCCUAGGGAGUCUGAUACACCUCUGGAACCUCAGAACUAUUCAUGGUUGCAGCUCUAUCAAAUUUUUCUGUGUGUAUCUGAGACUAUUGUUUGGUGCAUACAUCUUUAGGACUGCUAUGUCCCACUGGUGAAGAGACAAUGAGAAGAUCACCUUCUGGAAACCAGGAAGUCAGCUCUAACCAGACACUGGAUCUGCUGGCACCAUGAUCUUGGACUUCCAGCUCCAGAACUGUGGGAAGAGCUUCCUGACAAUGUGAGACAUGAAGAUGGUGGAUCCAUUUAACCUGGUGUGGACUGAGCCUGGGUGGAGGUUAGAAUUAAGAGUGCCUUCAACUGCCUAAGGAAAGGAGAAAGAUAAGGAAGGACGUAGAACUUAUCCUUUGGAAAGCUAAAACUAUAAUUGCUAGACAUUGGACAUUUAAAAUUAUUGUAACAUAUGAUUUUCAUUAGUUUCUUAAAACAAAUAUAGCAACCAUAUAAAUAAUAGUAAGUGCUAAUGUUUAUUAUGCACAUCAGUGGCCCAAGCGGGUACCAAGCAUUUCACAGGUAUGCUAUAAUUUUUUCUUUCCUCCAGACCUCUAAAGCAAGUAUUAUCAUGCCAUUUUAUAAUUCGAGAAGCCACAUCUAAGUAUAUGGGUGGCUAAAUAACUUGUCUAAGGACAUGAUAACAAAUAGCAGAAUUAGGACUUAAAGUCAUUCCUAUUUGAGUCAGAAACCCACUAUCAUCUGGGGGCUCCAGAUACUUUCUUUGCAACUAUUCCAUAAAUGUUAAAUAAUUCCAAAAUAAAAAGUUAUUUGAAAAAAAUAAAAACCAUUAUCUA